AGUGAACGCUGGCGGUAGGCCUAACACAUGCAAGUCGAACGGCAGCACAGUAAGAGCUUGCUCUUACGGGUGGCGAGUGGCGGACGGGUGAGGAAUACAUCGGAAUCUACUUUUUCGUGGGGGAUAACGUAGGGAAACUUACGCUAAUACCGCAUACGACCUACGGGUGAAAGCAGGGGAUCUUCGGACCUUGCGCGAUUGAAUGAGCCGAUGUCGGAUUAGCUGGUUGGCGGGGUAAAGGCCCACCAAGGCGACGAUCCGUAGCUGGUCUGAGAGGAUGAUCAGCCACACUGGAACUGAGACACGGUCCAGACUCCUACGGGAGGCAGCAGUGGGGAAUAUUGGACAAUGGGCGCAAGCCUGGUCCAGCCAUACCGCGUGGGUGAAGAAGGCCUUCGGGUUGUAAAGCCCUUUUGUUGGGAAAGAAAAGCAGCAGGUUAAUACCCCGCUGUUCUGACGGUACCCAAAGAAUAAGCACCGGCUAACUUCGUG
rnacentral:rRNA from 1 species